rnacentral:rRNA from 1 species
ACUCUUAACGGGGGAUCACUCGGCU